GGCCUUGUAGUGUAGCGGUCUUAUCACAUCGGAUUCUGACUCAUUCUGGCGAUUUCCGAUAACCCAGGUUCGAGUCCUGGCAAGGCCU
rnacentral:tRNA from 1 species